UAAUAGUGCAAUGGCAUAAGCGUGCUUAACUGCGAGACCGACAAGUCGAGCAGGUACGAAAGUAGGACAUAGUGAUCCGGUGGUUCUGUAUGGAAGGGCCAUCGCUCAACGGAUAAAAGGUACUCUGGGGAUAACAGGCUGAUUCCUCCCAAGAGUUCAUAUCGACGGGGGAGUUUGGCACCUCGAUGUCGGCUCAUCACAUCCUGGGGCUGUAGCCGGUCCCAAGGGUCUGGCUGUUCGCCCUUUAAAGUGGUACGUGACCUGGGUUUAAAACGUCGUGAGACAGUUUGGUCCCUAUCUGCCGUGGGCGUUGGAAAUUUGAAGGGGGCUGCUCCUAGUACGAGAGGACCGGAGUGGACGAACCUCUGGUGUACCGGUUGUCACGCCAGUGGCAUUGCCGGGUAGCUAAGUUCGGAAGAGAUAACCGCUGAAAGCAUCUAAGCGGGAAACUUGCCUUGAGAUGAGAUUUCCCGGAGCCUUGAGCUCCUUGAAGGGUCGUUCGAGACCAGGACGUUGAUAGGCUGGGUGUGGAAGUGCAGUAAUGCAUUAAGCUAACCAGUACUAAUUGCCCGUACGGCUUGUCCCU
rnacentral:ncRNA from 1 species